ACCCAGGAGGGGUCUGUGUCAUGUGUUGCUCGUGGCCCCGCCAACCCAGGAAGAGUGGUCUUUAAGAGCGUGUUGGAUUCUGUGGGACUCGGAAGAGGUGCCUGAACUUCCCUGUGCUUUUGAAGUCAAGGGACUCCUCCCAGUGAUUAGGAGCAGUGGAACCGUCCGGAUCCUGCCCUUGGUCCAUGCCUUUGGCCUUUGGUCAUGUAGUGGCGGCCCUUUGGGCUCUGCCAUUUGUGUUUCAGAUCAUCAGUUCUGCUAUGUGAAUGGGCAGGACUCUCCAUCGCCUUGGCAAGACAAGGUGCUCCUCGUCCAGGAAGUGUUAGGAGUCCUAGGAGCCAGCUCCUCCCAUGGGAUGUGGGCUCCCGAUGGAGGACAGAGUCUCUUCAGGGCCCUCCUGGGCUACUGAAAUGGUCCAAGAAAACCCUUCAAGUUGACUUCCCUUCUCUAAUAUUCAAUUUUCUUGUCCAUCCAGUGGAAGAGUUGGAGUUGAUACUUGAUCCAUUUCAGCUCUAACUUACUAAAGUCUGUGAUGGCUCUGGACCUUCAUGUUUCAGGACCAGGCCUGGUCCUUCUCAGCUCUCACACUGAAGCCUCAGAACCAGCCUCACUUGGAGGGUGGUCUUCAGCUCCCAGCCAAAAGCCUCGCUUGAACCUCCUCACACUUCAAAGACAAGGAUGGUACCCGCAUGCCACUCAGCCCUUGGAAGGGAGAAACAGUUUGGCAAAGGCCACAGAAUGGACCUCGUCUCCUUACACCGAGCCCAGGGCUCCAUUCAGCAGCCACCUUUCCACCCCCACCCCCAUCUCCUCCCCUCACCCCGAUAUGCAUCUACAUGGCUGCAAACAAGAGCAGCCAAGUGUAGGACCUCCACCCACUGCCAUCAGCAGACACUCAAGUGGACAGGCUGGACUGGAGAACAAGAACAAGAAAGAUCCCUCGGUGUCUGCAAUGGCUCAAACUUGA
rnacentral:lncRNA from 1 species